CGGAGGAAAAGAAACCAACAGGGAUUGCCCUAGUAACGGCGAGUGAAGCGGCAACAGCUCAAAUUUGAAAUCUGGCCCUCGGGUCCGAGUUGUAAUUUGUAGAGGAUGCUUUUGGUGCGGUGCCUUCCGAGUUCCCUGGAACGGGACGCCAUAGAGGGUGAGAGCCCCGUCUGGUUGGACACCAAGCCUCUGUAAAGCUCCUUCGACGAGUCGAGUAGUUUGGGAAUGCUGCUCUAAAUGGGAGGUAUAUGUCUUCUAAAGCUAAAUACCGGCCAGAGACCGAUAGCGCACAAGUAGAGUGAUCGAAAGAUGAAAAGCACUUUGAAAAGAGGGUUAAAUAGUACGUGAAAUUGUUGAAAGGGAAGCGCUUGUGACCAGACUUGAGCCCGGUUAAUCAUCCAGCCUUCUGGCUGGUGCACUUGGCCGGCUCAGGCCAGCAUCAGUUCGGCGUGGGGGAUAAAGACUUCGGGAAUGUGGCUCCUUCGGGAGUGUUAUAGCCCGUUGUGUAAUACCCUGUACUGGACUGAGGUUCGCGCAUCUGCAAGGAUGCUGGCGUAAUGGUCAUCAGCGACCCGUCUUGAAACACGGACCAAGGAGUCGUCCUCGUAUGCGAGUGUUCGGGUGUCAAACCCCUACGCGUAAUGAAAGUGAACGCAGGUGAGAGCUUCGGCGCAUCAUCGACCGAUCCUGAUGUUCUCGGACGGAUUUGAGUAAGAGCAUACGGGGCCGGACCCGAAAGAAGGUGAACUAUGCCUGUAUAGGGUGAAGCCAGAGGAAACUCUGGUGGAGGCUCGCAGCGGUUCUGACGUGCAAAUCGAUCGUCAAAUAUGGGCAUGGGGGCGAAAGACUAAUCGAACCUUCUAGU
rnacentral:rRNA from 1 species